GAUGUAGGCGGCUUGGUAAGUGUCCCGUGAAAUCCCACGGCUCAACCGUGGAACUGCGGGGCAAACUACCUGGCUUGAGGUCGGUAGAGGCGCCUGGAACUCUAGGUGGAGCGGUGAAAUGCGUAGAUAUCUAGAGGAACACCAGUGACGAAAGCGGGGCGCUGGGCCGAUUCUGACGCUGAGAUCCGAAAGCGUGGGGAGCAAACAGGAUUAGAUACCCUGGUAGUCC
rnacentral:rRNA from 1 species